rnacentral:rRNA from 1 species
GAGUUUGAUCGUGGCUCAGGAUGAACGCUGGCGGCGUGCCUAAAACAUGCAAGUCGUGCGGUAACAGGCCCUUCGGGUGCUGACGAGCGGCGGACGGCUGAGUAACGCGUGGGAACGUGCCCCAAAGUGAGGGAUAACUGCCCGAAAGGGUGGCUAAUACCGCAUAUGGUCUUCGGAUUAAAGCUUUUAGCGCUUUGGGAGCGGCCCGCGUCAGAUUAGAUAGUUGGUGAGGUAACGGCUCACCAAGUCGAUGAUCUGUAACUGGUUUGAGAGGAUGAUCAGUCAGACUGGAACUGAGAAACGGUCCAGACUCCUACGGGAGGCAGCAGUUAGGAAUAUUCCACAAUGGGCGAAAGCCUGAUGGAGCAACGCCGCGUGGAGGAUGAAGGCCUUC